GCGGGGGUACCCAAGUGGCCAAACCUACGGGCUAUAGGGGCAGGACUUAAGAUCCUGUGAACGUAGGUUCUUCGUGAGUUCGAACCGGCCGACGCGCACGAGGUGUGCGUCCGUGCGAAGCACGCAAGGCGGAAGACUGCCGAGAAGAUCUCAUCCCCCGCACCA
rnacentral:tRNA from 1 species